AUUUGGAGUUCCAGUGGGCUUUUAUUGAGAUAAAUUAACAAAAACCAAGAUUUUACCAUAUUUUUGGAACCUUAUAAACUCAGCAGACUCCGGUCCAUAUAUGCGUACAUACAACAUAACACAUCCCAACAAAAACAGAGCCCCCCCCCCCCCCACUGGAACAUCUGCCAAUUAAGAGAAAGCCAAUUUUCCCUUCCCCCAAUGUUUCUGAAAUUUUGAGUUCCCACUGUUCACUUCUCAGUGGAACUGGUCCCUUGUGGCUAGGGACAUUGGAAUUCUCUACCAUUUUUACUGAACAAAAAAUAAUUUUUUUUCCUGUUUCAAAAAAGGGAAUAGUGACUUUGUUUUCUCCAGGCUCCCCUUCCCACACAACCAAUGUAAAAUACAGCAGCCUGUAUCUUAAUAACCCAGCCCUACCCCCUCCCUUACCCAGCAUUGUCUACUGGAGAAUUUAAAUACACUUCUGUUGGAAUCUGUCAGCUGUGGAUGGGCAGAGUCCAGGUGCCAGGCUAGCUCCCUCUGACCUCAUGAACUGUGACAACCUUUGGACACUUAACUCUUUACCCCAAAGAUGAGUUUUUAGAUCAGAAAGGAGAGCAGAUUUUCUUUGGGAGUUUUAAAAAACUAUCUUUAGAUUUAGAGAUACAAAGUACAACUACAAUCUCACAGAAGUCCACUAAAGUUCACCAAAAAGCUGACUUACUUCAGCUCUCAUGAGGCCAAUAAUUUUGAUAAAGGUAUCUGGCAGGAAAAUGAUUCCACAAUAACAAAUUUAAAGAUACCUAGAACAUUGAAAAAAAUAGCAAAUUAAAAUAAAUGGCUUAAUUUCCAAGAACUUAUUUCAUUUUUUUGUUACUCAUCUAGAAGGUCAGGAGUGUGGCUAAAGGCAGUUUCCCUCUCUCUUACUUCUGUGAAAGAUCAUUUUAGAAUAAAUGUAUUCCAUUCCUAUGGGAGAGGCAAAACAGUAUUUAUCCCCAUCAGAAUAUAUGGGGAAAGAAAAAACAUAGGCCUAGAGGUGGUAAGGUGUGUAACAGUCCAUAGCCCAUUACACAACUGUACAACCAAAGGCUAAAUGAUGAGUUGGAUGUAGUUUUAAUAUUAAAAAUAGAGGGUAGUUCUCAUCCAAAUGAGCCACUGGAAAAUAUUAUCAUUACUUAAAAAAAUACAUAUUUAAUAUUGGAAAGAAUGUGAAAACAACUUCCAAUAGUAACAAUGCUUAUUAUGAGGGCCCAAAAAAGAAAGAAAAAAAAAAAAAAAAAAAAAAAGACCAG
rnacentral:lncRNA from 10 species